AGUGAACGCUGGCGGUAGGCCUAACACAUGCAAGUCGAACGGCAGAACAGUAGGAGCUUGCUCUUACGGGUUGCGAGUGGGGUGAGGGUGGGGAAUACAACGGAAUCUACAUUUGCGUGGGGGUAUACGUAGGGAUACCUACGAUCAUACGACAACAGACCUACCGGUAUAACUAUGGAAAAUUCGCAACUUGCGCGCUAGCAUGUGGCGGUGUGGGAUUAUGUAGUUGGCGGGGGAAAGGCGCACCAAGGCGACGAUCCAUAUAUGGUAUGAGAGGAUGAUCAGCCACACUGGAACGGAGACACGGUCCAGACUCCUACGGGAGGCAGCAGUGGGGAAUAUUGGACAAUGGGCGGAAGUCUGACCCAGCCAUACCGCGUGGGUGAAGAAGGCCUUCGGGUGUUAAAGCCUUUUGGUUGGGAAAGAAAAGUAGCAGGGUAAUACCCCGCUGUUCUGACGGUACCCAAAGAAAAAGCACCGGCUAACUUCGUG
rnacentral:rRNA from 1 species